CCAAGGGUUGAGCAAAUGGAGCAACCGGAACUGAUCCUAGUUGGUGGGAGUAAAUUGCUAUGAGUACUGUGGAAAAACAGCUGAGUGUUAUUUUGCAAAACCGACACACCCGGUGAGCCAUCAAUUCCAUUCUUAGGUCUGUGCCUCUAAGAAACUCCUGAGCACCUGUACCAGGACUUUAAGAAAUGUUCACAGCUGCCUAGCCUGUGAGACACUGCAGUACCGACUGGUGGUUCCCAGUGUGAGUUAAAGUUCUUGCAACUGCACAGUAGGGAAAGUGAACCAGAGCAGUAGUUCAGAAUAACCUCAGUAUGGGACCAUGGACACAAAACCAUGUGGCUUGCUGAGCUUUGAUGGCGCACACCUUUAAUCCCAGAGGCUGGUCUUGAGCUCAGAGACCCAUAAGCCUCUCCUCCUGAAUGCUGGGAUUAGAUGUGUAUGCCGCCACUUUCAGGCUUCCAGCAAUGCUUCUUGAGUGUGCUCUACUCACCCUGACCCUCACUCUGCUCCCAGUGACUCUCAGAACCCCACAGCUGACAGGGUACCCAUGCCACCCCUACAUAGUGAUGAAACUAAAGAGACAGUCACAGAGGGAUGAUGAUGCCCUAAGACUAGCCCGGGUGUUGGGUAUCUGUGAGUACUCUGAGGUAGAACUCAGUACACAGGAGUACACCUGGUCCAGUGUUUUAUGCCAUUAUUUUGGAAUAAUGGAAAUAUAAAAGAGGAAUUAUGAAGAAACAGAACUGGAACACUUGUGGAUCCAUUGUGUAUUGUCCUGACAAGGGGUGAGGGUUCAGUGAAGCAGGGUGGUUUGUGCAUCUCUCCCUGGAACGUGGCCAUAGCCAGACCCUGCUGUGGCUGCAGCCCCCUGCUUGGUGCCCAAACUGGUGGUGAGAGCUCCUCUGGACUUUCGUUUCUGUGGCUGACAUUUUCCUUCACAGUUCAGAUAUCAGCAGAGGCUGGGACCCAGACAGCUCCAUGCUGUUGCCCCAGCAGCUUGAGGAGCUCCCCUAACCUUUUAGAACAUCAACUUGGCGGGGAA
rnacentral:lncRNA from 1 species